rnacentral:tRNA from 3 species
GCCGAGGUAGCUUAGCGGACUAAAGCGCCGGCCUUGAGAGCCGGUGUCCCACAAGGGACACAGGGGUUCGAAUCCCUUCCUCGGCG